AGAGUUUGAUCCUGGCUCAGAUUGAACGCUGGCGGCAUGCCUUACACAUGCAAGUCGAACGGCAGCACGGGAGCAAUCCUGGUGGCGAGUGGCGAACGGGUGAGUAAUAUAUCGGAACGUGCCCAGUCGUGGGGGAUAACGUAGCGAAAGCUACGCUAAUACCGCAUACGAUCUAUGGAUGAAAGCGGGGGAUCGCAAGACCUCGCGCGAUUGGAGCGGCCGAUAUCAGAUUAGCUAGUUGGUGGGGUAAAGGCCCACCAAGGCGACGAUCUGUAGCUGGUCUGAGAGGACGACCAGCCACACUGGAACUGAGACACGGUCCAGACUCCUACGGGAGGCAGCAGUGGGGAAUUUUGGACAAUGGGCGCAAGCCUGAUCCAGCAAUGCCGCGUGCAGGACGAAGGCCUUCGGGUUGUAAACUGCUUUUGUACGGAACGAAAA
rnacentral:rRNA from 1 species